UAGUCCACGCCGUAAACGAUGGAUACUAGCUGUCCGGGUCCUUGAGACCUGGGCGGCCAAGCGAAAGUGAUAAGUAUCCCACCUGGGGAGUACGUUCGCAAGAAUGAAACUCAAAGGAAUUGACGGGGGCCCGCACAAGCGGUGGAGCAUGUGGUUUAAUUCGAUGAUACGCGAGGAACCUUACCAGGGCUUAAAUGCAUAUUGACAGGUCUAGAGAUAGACUUUCCUUCGGGCAAUUUGCAAGGUGCUGCAUGGUUGUCGUCAGCUCGUGCCGUGAGGUGUCAGGUUAAGUCCUAUAACGAGCGCAACCCCUGUCGUUAGUUGCCAGCGAGUCAUGUCGGGGACUCUAACGAGACUGCCGGUGACAAACCGGGAGGAAGGUGGGGACGACGUCAAGUCAUCAUGGCCCUUAUGGGGCUGGGGCUACACACGUGCUACAAUGGGCCGGUAC
rnacentral:rRNA from 1 species